CUUACCCGUGAGAGAGUUUCCGCCAUUUUUGAAAAUCGGGAAGGUCCGGGGCCAAGUGUGGUUGCAGCUGCGAUGGCAACCUUUGCCGUGGAACCCCAGGCGCCCUCGUUGGGAUCUGAACCAAUGAUGCUAGGUUCACCCACAUCUCCAAAACCAGGGGUUAAUGCCCAGUUCUUACCUGGAUUUUUAAUGGGAGAUUUGCCAGCUCCAGUGACUCCACAACCUCGAUCUGUCAGUGGCCCUUCAGUGGGGGUAAUAGAAAUGAGAUCACCUUUACUUGCAGGUGGAUCACCACCACAACCAGUUGUGCCAGCUCAUAAAGAUAAAAGUGGAGCCCCACCAGUUAGAAGUAUGUAUGAUGAUAUUUCCAGUCCAGGACUUGGAUCAACACCUUUAACUUCAAGAAGACAGCCAAACAUUUCAGUAAUGCAGAGUCCUCUUGUUGGAGUUAUGACGACUACUCCUACUCCUGGAACAGGGCAAAGUAUGUUUAGUCCAGCAAACAUUGGUCAGCCACGAAAGACAACAUUAUCUCCUGCACAGUUGGAUCCUUUUUAUACUCAAGGAGAUUCUCUGACUUCUGAAGAUCACCUCGAUGACACUUGGGUAACUGUGUUCGGGUUUCCUCAAGCGUCUGCUUCCUAUAUAUUAUUACAAUUUGCACAGUAUGGGAAUAUCUUAAAACAUGUGAUGUCUAACACAGGAAAUUGGAUGCAUAUUCGUUAUCAAUCUAAACUGCAGGCUCGGAAAGCCUUAAGCAAAGAUGGGAGGAUUUUUGGAGAGUCCAUCAUGAUUGGUGUAAAACCAUGUAUAGAUAAAAGUGUUAUGGAAAACCAUGACAGGUGUGCUUUGUCAUCUCCACCUCUAGCCUUUACACCACCAAUCAAAACUGUAGGCACACCAACCCAGCCUGGAAGUGCUCCUAGGAUUUCUACCAUGAGACCUCUUGCUACAGCAUACAAAGCUUCUACUAGUGACUAUCAGUUUGCAGGAAUUCAGGAAACAUGUUUUCCUUGAGUGCUUCCUGCGAAAUGGACCACAGAAUGUGCUCAGAUGAGCUAAAUAACUGGAAAGCUGUUGACACAAAGUUUUUGCACCAGCAAAUGCGGCCAUUUUCUGGGGUCUGCUGGGACCAGGUGGCUUCAACAGUCUCUACCAAACGUCCUUCCAGCAGUGGAACUGCUUCUCCCCGUGUGGCCCAAGAACCUCCCGGACCCCACUCUGUUCCUGGGGAUUCGCCCUUCCCACCAGAGCACCACCAGUACAGGGAAAAUGAUGUUAUGCCAGUUUCAAAACACGUAUAAGAGGACCAGCAGCUUCUACCUUGGUCUCUUGAAGUCCUGAUCUGCCACGCAAGAAGACUCCUGCGGGGCAGAGCUGGGAAGGGCCUGAGACCACAUGGAGUGGACAGAAACUCAGCUAAGCCCAGCCUUCCAGUUGCCCAAGGCACCAAGUAUGUGAGUGAGACUGUCACGGACGCUUCACCACAGUCCAGCUGCCAGGUCACUAUCACUGAGAGUCCAUUUAUAAAUACACAGCAACUGGAACAGAAGGUGAGAACACAUAAUGUCUCCCCUAAGAUCACAUAGACAUAUACUGAUAGAAAUAGGACAGAAAUCUAGAUUCUUUACUCCAGUGUGCGGUGGUGUGGAAUUAUAGUGUGUUUUCUUUAAUAUUUAGGUUGAUUUUUAAAUCACUUAAAUUUAAGGUGCACUGGAGAAGUGUUUUAAAUGAAUUUCCCACAUUCCAGUUGUAGCUCUAGAAUCAACUUCUGUGUAAAAGAAUAUUUGAAAAGAAAGUAUUAAAAAGAAUAUAAAACCAAAUUAUUUUUGGCAUAGAAAUUAUUUUUGGACAUAUAAAGUUAAAAUCCUUAUAAUAUGCAAAGUAUUAACAAAUGACUGCACACAAUUGUUAAUUGAAUGUUUAAACAUUAACGGUUGCUGAAUUCUUCAUAUAUUUUGUUUGUGCUAGCAUUUAGGCAUUAGCAUAGGGAACGUCUUGGGACAAAAAGGUUCCAGGUUCUGCUAACUGGGAGAAACCUCAGGGCAACUUGUUCUGGAAUAGGGACAUGGACUCUGGAAAGGGGCUCAAGACUGUUUUUUGGUUUUUUUUUAAGAGGUGGGUCAGCAAAUGGGGUUUUUGGAGACUUUGGGUCAUAUUACCAGGUUAUUUCUUGGUUAAUUAGUGGAAGAUAUUUUAUAAAUUUAAUUAAUCUGUCACUCCUGGUUGUUUCUUAUAAGCAGCUGCUAAUUCUUGCAGAAACAGUUUUUGAAGUGGAAUUUAAAUAGGUUUUCUAUUGUUGAAUAAGGGGCACCUGGGUGGCUCAGUCGGUUAAGCGUCCGACUUUGGCUCAGGUCAUGAUCUCACGGUCUGUGGGUUCGAGCCCCACGUCGGGCUCUGUGCUGACAGCUCAGAGCCUGGAGCCUGUUUCAGAUUCUGUGUCUCCCUCUUUCUCUGACCCUCCCCUGUUCAUGCUCUCUCUCUCUGUCUCAAAAAUAAAUAAACGUUAAAAAAAAAUAGGUUUUCUAUUGUUGAAUAAACUUCAGAAACAACUAUAGAUGUACCCAUCUUGUGGUGACCAUCAGAAGUGUCCAAAAUGGAAAGGUUUUAGAGUAAAAACAAGCUGGAAUAUCUGAGAUUAAAAGCAUUAGCUAUUUACAUGUUUGGAAGUACUGACCACUUCUUUUUUUACAUUUUUGUUACUUUCUGCCUUUUUUUUUUUUUUUGAGCCCUCGUGUUAGUUUUACUGAACAUAUUUACUUUAAUAAUAAAAGAUAAAAAGUAUUUUUUGGAGGGAAUGAACAGGUCAUUUUUCUUUUUCAAAGUUUUCUUUUGAGCCAGAAUAAAAGGAAUAUUGAUAAGUUGAAACAUGGAAACCUUGAGUUAUGUCAUUGGUUUAAAAAGGAGAAAUUGGUAUCAAGGAGAUGUAAUCUGGUAUUUCAAGCAGCUGUACUAUAGUUUAUAUGACCUACAAAAAGUACGUAGAACAUAUACCUGUAAUCCCACCCAUUAGUGUUUGGAAAUUUUUUCAACAACCAAUUCAAGUAAUAAUUGAGCUCUUAAUAUGUGCAGGAGCCUUGGGAUAUAUGGGAUGAAUAAAGAUAGGCACCCACUUUUGUGGAACAAACAUACCAGCAGAAAGAGGUAACAGGAAAUAAUCCUAGUAAAUAAGUCAUAGAGUAAGUUAAAAGGUAAUAGGUGCUGUGGGGGAAAAUGAUCAGAAAUGCUGGAAUGUUAAGCAGCACUCAAUGGUAGACCUCAUUCAUAAGGUGAGAUUUGAGCAGACUUGAAGGGGAUGAGGUUGUUAGGGUGGAAUUUGGGGAAGAACAUUCCAGGCAGAGGGAACAGCAAGAACAAAGACAGGAGUUUGCCUGGUGUGUUCAAGGAACAGCACAGGGAAAGGUUGAGUUGAGUGAGCAAGGGGAGGAAUAGUAGGAAAAUAGAUCAGAGGUAAUGAGGGCUCAGAUCACAUAGGAUCUUCUAGACCUUAGUAAAGAUUGUGACUUUUAUUCUUUGUGGUAGGCAGAAUAAUGGCCCCGAAAGAUGUCAGUGUCCCUAUCCCCAGAACAUGUGAAUAUGUACAUUACAUGGCAAGGGGAACUAUGCAGAUAGGAUUAAGGGUGUGGCCAUUGAUGACAGGUACGUGUAAAGAUGCUCACCAUCACUAAUCAUGAGAGAUGCAAAUCAAAACCACAGUGAGAUAACACCUCACGCCUGUUAGAGUAACUAUUAUAAAAACAAGAAAUAAGGGGCACCUGGGUGGCUUAGUUAUGUGUCCGACUCUUGGUUUUGGCUCAGGUUAUGAUCUCAGUUCAUGGGAUCAAGCCUCUCAUGGGCCUCUUUGCUGACAGGUUGGGGCCUGAUUGGGAUUCUCCCUCUCUCUCUGCGCUUCCCCUGCUCAUGCAUGUGUGUGUUGUGUCUCAAAAUAAACAUUAAGGCACACACACACACACGAGAUAAUAAAUGUUGGUGAGGAUGUGGAGUAAAGGGAAUCCUUGUGCACUGUUGGUGGAAAUAUAAAUAAGCAUAGCCACUAUGGAAAACAGUAUGGAAGUUCCUCAAAAAAUUAAAAAUAGAACUACUACAUGAUCCAGUAAUUCCACUUUUGGGUAUUUGUCCAAAGAAGAAAAAUAUACUAAUUCAAAAAGAUGUAUGCACUCCCAUGUUAAUUGCAGCAUAAUUUACAAUAGCCAAAAUAGGGAAACAACCUGAGUGUCCACCAAUGGAUGAAUGGAUCGAGAAAAUGUAGUAUACAUACACAACAGAAUAUCACUCAGCUGUUAAAGAAUGAAAUAUUCUCAUUUGCAACAACAUGGAUGUACCUUGAAGGCAUGCUCAGUGAAAUAAGUCAGAGAAAGAUAAAUACCAUAUGAUCUCAUUUAUAUUUGGAUUCUAAGCAAACAAGGACCAACAGAAGAACAAAAAAAGCUCUCAUAGGUAACAGAGAAGAGGUUGAUGGUUGCCAGAGAGGAGAUGUGUGGGUGGGGAGGGCAAAAUGAGCGGAGGGAGUAAAAAGGUACAAACUUCCAGUUAUAAAAUAAGUCAUGGCAUGUAAUGUACAAUAUUGUCCUUAUAGUUAAUAACGCUAUAAUACGUAUUUGGAAGUUACUGAGAGUAAAUCUUAAAAGUCCUCGUCAGAAGAAAAAAAAUAUUUUGUAAUCAUGUAUGAUGAUAAAUGUUAACUUACUGUGGUGACGAUUUCAUAAUACAAAUAAUGAAUCAUAUUGUACACCUGAAACUUAUAUGUUAAUUGUACCUUAAAAAAGCCAAAAAAACAAACAAAAGGGUAUGGAACUCCAGGUGGGAAGACUGUGUCUGAUAAUUCAGGUGGGCCCAUUUUAAUCAUAUUAGCUCUUAAACUUGGAGGAGGCCCUCCUCCCUGGAAAUCAGAGAGUCUCCAGAAUCUGAGAAGAGCGCUCAGCUGACAGCCAGUAGGGAAAUGGAGACAUAGUCCUACAGCGCGGAGAAACUGAGAAACUGAAUUCUGGCAACAACCUCAGUGAACAAGGAAACAGAUUUUCUCCUUAGAGCGUCCAAAAAGAGGCACAUCCUUGCUGACUUCUUGACUUUGGCCUCGUGAGACCUAAGCAGAGAAUGACUCAUCCCAGCUCACCUGACUUCAGACCUGUGAGAACUGUAAGAUAAUACAUUUUGCCCUGUUUUAAGCCACCAAAUUUGUGAUAAUUUAACAGUAAUAGAAAACUAAAUACCCGGAGUGAAACAGGAAGCAAUUGGAUACUUUUUAGUAGAGGAGUAUCAUGAUAUAACUUGUUUCCUUUUUAUUAUUUAUAUAAAUUUCUGUGAUCUCUUGAUGACACAGGUGGUUUUUCACAAUUAAUCUCUCAGCAAGGGUAAUCACCUUUCACCUUUGGUACUUGAAAGCCAAGUAAUUUAUAUUCUUGACAGUAUUUUGAUAGUUUGAAAAGGCUUUUACACUUUCUGAAUUUCAGUGUUAAUAUAUGUUUCUUUUUCAAGAAAUCCAGAUUAAUAUGAUCUGGAACGGUUAAGUGAAUUUAAAGCUAUUUUACUCAUUUAGGGAAAAAUGAUACCUAUCAUCUGUAGCAAAGCCAACCUGAAUUAUCUCUGAAGUUAAUUUUAAUCCUCUAUUUCCUCUUCUCCUGUUUUUUUUUUUUUUUUCAUUUUCUUCCCACAGACUAAAUCUUUGUUAAAACCAAAGUGCUAAGGCUUAAGUGAAGAAUAAAAAGAUACUAAGAUUGUCUUUAA